AGUGCCUUGGAAAAUGUCUUUAUAACUGGCGGUGUGGAAAUUAAGAAAAGCUUUUCAUAUUCUGAAAAGGAAGCAGCAGCAUAUGUCAGCCUUCUGUCAGAAAGCAUCACAGAGAUGAAGAAAUGGGAAAUCCAGAAACCAAAGAACCAUGUUCUUCUGUGGGACAGACUUGGUAGAGCAGAGUUGCAAAAUCAGACCUUCGGGGCUAGUGUAUUUCUCCUCUAACUCUUUGGUAUAGAAGCCCUGCCUUGAACUUCAGGCUGCCUGGCUUGGAUCCUGAUGCUGCUUUGCUGACACAAUCCAUUCUCCCAGGGAACACCCAGAGUUCCACUCUAGCCCUGGCAACCCUGUUUUCCCAUAGGCCAACGAUAUGGGAAGUCUACAUUGGCUCAGAACAAUUGAGGCUGGGAGAGGGUAUCGCCACAAUUUCCCUCAUCCACUCCAGCUGGUGAAUUCCUGCCUGGUCGUCUUUUAAAACCCAGUCCUCAGAAUCCGAGAGUCGCUUCUUCAGCAGGGCCUCCCCUGACUCCUUCAGAUGUCUAAGUACCACCUCCACUCUUCUGCGGAAGCGUCUCCACUUGCUUUUAUCACUCAAAUCCCUGAAAUUGUUUGCUUACUCAUCCAUCUAUGUCAGUUGCAAAAGCAUGAGUUCCUCUAGACCAAAGGCCACUCAUUUUCAGUAUGUUAGUGCUUCAGAGGUCUCCACUGGUUGUUUGAGACAAGUCGAAUGAGUUCAAUUGAAUUUUACAUGUUUUAUCCUCCAACUGCAACUGUUAUUCACAUCCCUCUAUACAAAAUGUAAUAAUAAAACGACUAACUGAA